rnacentral:rRNA from 1 species
GAUGAACGCUAGCGACAGGCUUAACACAUGCAAGUCGAGGGGCAGCAUAAAAGUAGCAAUACUUUGGUGGCGACCGGCGCACGGGUGAGUAACGCGUAUGCAACCUACCUAUCAGAGGGGGAUAACCCGGCGAAAGUCGGACUAAUACCGCAUAAAACAGGGGCACCGCAUGGUGAUAUUUGUUAAAAAUUUAUUGCUGAUAGAUGGGCAUGCGUUCCAUUAGGUAGUUGGAGAGGUAACGGCUCACCAAGCCCACGAUGGAUAGGGGAACUGAGAGGUUGGUCCCCCACACUGGUACUGAGACACGGACCAGACUCCUACGGGAGGCAGCAGUGAGGAAUAUUGGUCAAUGGGCGAGAGCCUGAACCAGCCAAGUCGCGUGAAGGAAGAAGGAUCUAUGGUUCGUAAACUUCUUUUGCAGGGGAAUAAAGUGCAGGACGUGUCCUGUUUUGUAUGUACCCUGAGAAUAAGGAUCGGCUAACUCCGUGCCAGCAGCCGCGGUAAAACG